rnacentral:rRNA from 1 species
GACGAACGCUGGCGGCGUGCUUAACACAUGCAAGUCGAACGGAAAGGCCCCUUUGGGGGUACUCGAGUGGCGAACGGGUGAGUAACACGUGAGUAACCUGCCCUUGACUUCGGGAUAACUUCAGGAAACUGGGGCUAAUACCGGAUAGGAAUCCUUGCUGCAUGGUGGGGGUUGGAAAGCUUCGGCGGUUUUGGAUGGACUCGCGGCUUAUCAGCUUGUUGGUGGGGUAGUGGCUUACCAAGGCUUUGACGGGUAGCCGGCCUGAGAGGGCGACCGGCCAAAUUGGGACUGAGAUACGGCCCAGACUCCUACGGGGGGCAGCAGGGGGGAAAAUUGCAAAAUGGGCGGAAGCCUGAUGCAGGAACGCCGCGGGCGGGAUGACGGCCUUCGGGUUGUAAACCGCUUUCAGCAGGGGCGAAGCUUGUGGUGACGGUACCUGCAGAAGAAGCACCGGCUAACUACGUG